rnacentral:sRNA from 12 species
CCGCCAUGCGCGGGCUUCAUUCCUUAAAUCACCACUCGAUACGGAGGCCCGGACGCUUCUUGCAUGGCCGGGGAUUUACGGCGGCGUUGCCCCGGCUCCAUGAGCAACCGUUAUGCAGCUACUUCAAACCGCUGCGGCAGACGACGCAGGUGCGGGAGGUCAUGCGACCCGCAAACCGCG